GAAUAUAAUUAGCAAAAAUGUACUUUAUUGCACAUGUAAUUAGAAAGUUAUUGAACGCGGAAGUCCGAAUGUGCGAUAAUAAAACCAACUUUACCGCAGUCAGACUAGCAGUACGUGUCUUUAAUCAGUAAUGAGCUUCAAUCGCGUUUUCAUUAGAUGUCAGCAAAGCACCAGAAAAACAUCAGAGCAGCUCUGCAGCAUCCGCAUUCGAACACAAGCGCGAGCUGCUGCUGUCAUUACCGAACCGAACCGAGACGAGCCGAGGUAGAACACACACACACACACGCGCGGGAACGGGGCAGAUCUGCAUUCAUCGGAAUCAGACGAAAUGAGCUGCUUUUGGAUACACUCGAUCCUCAUCCCGGGAUUCUUCCUACUCUUCGGGUUUGAAGGAUUCUAAGAUUUCUGCUAUUCCUGCAGGCCACUUCAAACUGAUAAAGCUUCAUCCAUUCAGGCAGCUCUCGAGAGCGGGUUAUCAAACAGCGCAGUUGCUGUGAGACAAGAAGUUCCAUUGAAAUGAAGACUUGUAUACAGUCGCUGUUUAUGAGUGGUUUGUGUAACUCGGUCACUCGAGGAGCUGCUGGAGAGAGUGUGGAGAGAACAGCUGAUGAAGGGUCUGUAUCUGUCUCGGUUCGCUGUCUCAGUGAGCAGAUACUGGGUUGAAUCACAUUGAUGAAGAUUAACAGAUGCCACAUGCUGCAGACACAAGGGAAUUUGUCAGACUCGUUUUACUGGACUGGAUGUUUUCCGGAGCAGUGUCUUAAACUACAAGAACUCCAGAAAUGGCCAUACUUGAUUUGCAGGACGUUGUGGACAUAUACAGUACACAGAAGGACUGGACGACCUGCGCUCUCAAUCUACUGUACACUGAUGAUAAACUCUGAGCUGCUGUUUUAUUGAUAAUCUACUGAGAUUAGACAGAUCCAGUCUAGAAAUUAAAGGCUAAUAUAUACUGUAUUUUAUACAUUACAUUUCAUUAUAUUUAUUUAAUGCAUUAGUUUUAAUCAUUAAUAAUUGUUUAACAACGAUUUCCCAUAAUGCCAUCACCUGUGUUAAGUUUUUUUUUAAUUCCACGACUGAAAUGCCUUCUUCCUGUUAUUGCUGUGAGACAGAACAACGAAUAAACCUCACUGAUCUCAUGGGAA